rnacentral:rRNA from 1 species
AUACGGAGGAUCCGAGCGUUAUCCGGAUUUAUUGGGUUUAAAGGGAGCGUAGGCGGACGCUUAAGUCAGUUGUGAAAGUUUGCGGCUCAACCGUAAAAUUGCAGUUGAUACUGGGUGUCUUGAGUACAGUAGAGGCAGGCGGGGGUCGUGGUGUAGCGGGGAAAUGCUUAGAUAUCACGAAGAACUCCGAUUGCGAAGGCAGCCUGCUGGACUGUAACUGACGCUGAUGCUCGAAAGUGUGGGUAUCAAACAGGAUUAGAUACCCUGGUAGUCCACACAGUAAACGAUGAAUACUCGCUGUUUGCGAUAUACAGUAAGCGGCCAAGCGAAAGCAUUAAGUAUUCCACCUGGGGAGUACGCCGGCAACGGUGAAACUCAAAUGAAUUGACGGGG